rnacentral:rRNA from 1 species
UACGAAGGGGGCUAGCGUUGUUCGGAAUCACUGGGCGUAAAGCGCACGUAGGCGGCUUGUUAAGUCAGGGGUGAAAUCCUGGAGCUCAACUCCAGAACUGCCCUUGAUACUGGCAAGCUGGAGUGUAGGAGAGGUUGGUGGAACUGCGAGUGUAGAGGUGAAAUUCGUAGAUAUUCGCAAGAACACCAGUGGCGAAGGCGGCCAACUGGCCUACUACUGACGCUGAGGUGCGAAAGCGUGGGGAGCAAACAGG